rnacentral:rRNA from 1 species
UACGAAGGGGGGCUAGCGUUGUUCGGAAUUACUGGGCGUAAAGCGCACGUAGGCGGCUUUGUAAGUUAGAGGUGAAAGCCCGGGGCUCAACUCCGGAAUUGCCUUUAAGACUGCAUCGCUAGAAUUGUGGAGAGGUAAGUGGAAUUCCGAGUGUAGAGGUGAAAUUCGUAGAUAUUCGGAAGAACACCAGUGGCGAAGGCGACUUACUAGACACAUAAUUGACGCUGGAGGUGCGAAAGCGUGGGGAGCAAACAGG